rnacentral:tRNA from 1 species
GGACCCGUAGCUCAGCUGGAUAGAGCGCUGCCCUCCGAAGGCAGAGGUCGAACGUUCGAAUCGUUUCGGGUCCGCCA